AUUGCACGCUGGCGGAAUGCUUUACACAUGCGAGUCGAGCGGCAGCGCGGCCUUCGGGCUGGCGGCGAGCGGCGAACGGGUGAGUAAUGCAUCGGAACAUGCCCAGUCGUGGGGGAUAACACUUCGAAAGAAGUGCUAAUACCGCAUACGUCCUGAGGGGGAAAGCGGGGGAUCGCAAGACCUCGCGCGAUUGGAGUGGCCGAUGUCAGAUUAGCUAGUUGGUGGGGUAAAGGCCUACCAAGGCGACGAUCUGUAGCUGGUCUGAGAGGAUGAUCAGCCACACUGGGACUGAGACACGGCCCAGACUCCUACGGGAGGCAGCAGUGGGGAAUUUUGGACAAUGGGGGCAACCCUGAUCCAGCCAUUCCGCGUGAGUGAAGAAGGCCUUCGGGUUGUAAAGCUCUUUCGGCAGGAACGAAACGGUGGGCUCUAACAUAGUCCGCUAAUGACGGUACCUGAAGAAGAAGCACCGGCUAACUACGUG
rnacentral:rRNA from 1 species